GACGAACGCUGGCGGCGUGCUUAACACAUGCAAGUCGAACGGAAAGGCCCUGCUUUUGUGGGGUGCUCGAGUGGCGAACGGGUGAGUAACACGUGAGUAACCUGCCCUUGACUUUGGGAUAACUUCAGGAAACUGGGGCUAAUACCGGAUAGGAGCUCCUGCUGCAUGGUGGGGGUUGGAAAGUUUCGGCGGUUGGGGAUGGACCCGCGGCUUAUCAGCUUGUUGGUGGGGUAGUGGCUUACCAAGGCUUUGACGGGUAGCCGGCCUGAGAGGGUGACCGGCCACAUUGGGACUGAGAUACGGCCCAGACUCCUACGGGAGGCAGCAGUGGGGAAUAUUGCACAAUGGGCGGAAGCCUGAUGCAGCAACGCCGCGUGCGGGAUGACGGCCUUCGGGUUGUAAACCGCUUUCGCCUGUGACGAAGCGUGAGUGACGGUAAUGGGUAAAGAAGCACCGGCUAACUACGUGCCAGCAGCCGCGGUGAUACGUAGGGUGCGAGCGUUGUCCGGAUUUAUUGGGCGUAAAGGGCUCGUAGGUGGUUGAUCGCGUCGGAAGUGUAAUCUUGGGGCUUAACCCUGAGCGUGCUUUCGAUACGGGUUGACUUGAGGAAGGUAGGGGAGAAUGGAAUUCCUGGUGGAGCGGUGGAAUGCGCAGAUAUCAGGAGGAACACCAGUGGCGAAGGCGGUUCUCUGGGCCUUUCCUGACGCUGAGGAGCGAAAGCGUGGGGAGCGAACAGGCUUAGAUACCCUGGUAGUCCACGCUGUAAACGGUGGGUACUAGGUGUGGGGUCCAUUCCACGGGUUCCGUGCCGUAGCUAACGCUUUAAGUACCCCGCCUGGGGAGUACGGCCGCAAGGCUAAAACUCAAAGGAAUUGACGGGGCCCCGCACAAGCGGCGGAGCAUGCGGAUUAAUUCGAUGCAACGCGUAGAACCUUACCUGGGUUUGACAUGGAUCGGGAGUGCUCAGAGAUGGGUGUGCCUCUUUUGGGGUCGGUUCACAGGUGGUGCAUGGCUGUCGUCAGCUCGUGUCGUGAGAUGUUGGGUUAAGUCCCGCAACGAGCGCAACCCUUGUUCACUGUUGCCAGCACGUUAUGGUGGGGACUCAGUGGAGACCGCCGGGGUCAACUCGGAGGAAGGUGGGGAUGACGUCAAGUCAUCAUGCCCCUUAUGUCCAGGGCUUCACGCAUGCUACAAUGGCUGGUACAGAGAGUGGCGAGCCUGUGAGGGUGAGCGAAUCUCGGAAAGCCGGUCUCAGUUCGGAUUGGGGUCUGCAACUCGACCUCAUGAAGUCGGAGUCGCUAGUAAUCGCAGAUCAGCAACGCUGCUGUUGAAUAGUUCCCGGG
rnacentral:rRNA from 1 species